UACCAGACUCCUACGGGAGGCAGCAGUGGGGAAUAUUGCACAAUGGGGGGAACCCUGAUGCAGCGACGCCGCGUGGGCGAGGAAGUAUUUCGGUAUGUAAAGCCCUAUCGGCAGGGAAGAAGGAGGACGGUAUCUGACUAAGAAGCCCCGACUAACUACGUGCCAGCAGCCGCGGUAAUACGUAGGGGGCAAGCGUUAUCCGGAUUUACUGGGUGUAAAGGGAGCGUAGACGGCUAUGCAAGUCUGGAGUGAAAGGCGGGGGCCCAACCCCCGGACUGCUCUGGAAACUGUAGAGCUAGAGUGCAGGAGAGGUAAGUGGAAUUCCUAGUGUAGCGGUGAAAUGCGUAGAUAUCAGGAGGAACACCAGUGGCGAAGGCGGCUUGCUGGACGAUGACUGACGUUGAGGCUCGAAAGCGUGGGGAGCAAACAGGAUUAGAUACCCUGGUAA
rnacentral:rRNA from 1 species